AAAUUGAAGAGUUUGAUCAUGGCUCAGAUUGAACGCUGGCGGCAGGCCUAACACAUGCAAGUCGAACGGUAACAGGAAGCAGCUUGCUGCUUCGCUGACGAGUGGCGGACGGGUGAGUAACGUCUGGGAAACUGCCUGAUGGAGGGGGAUAACUACUGGAAACGGUGGCUAAUACCGCAUAACGUCGCAAGACCAAAGAGGGGGACCUUCGGGCCUCUUGCCAUCAGAUGUGCCCAGAUGGGAUUAGCUUGUUGGUGAGGUAACGGCUCACCAAGGCGACGAUCCCUAGCUGGUCUGAGAGGAUGACCAGCCACACUGGAACUGAGACACGGUCCAGACUCCUACGGGAGGCAGCAGUGGGGAAUAUUGCACAAUGGGCGCAAGCCUGAUGCAGCCAUGCCGCGUGUAUGAAGAAGGCCUUCGGGUUGUAAAGUACUUUCAGCGGGGAGGAAGGUGUUGUGGUUAAUAACCACAGCAAUUGACGUUACCCGCAGAAGAAGCACCGGCUAACUCCGUGCCAGCAGCCGCGGUAAUACGGAGGGUGCAAGCGUUAAUCGGAAUUACUGGGCGUAAAGCGCACGCAGGCGGUCUGUCAAGUCGGAUGUGAAAUCCCCGGGCUCAACCUGGGAACUGCAUUCGAAACUGGCAGGCUUGAGUCUUGUAGAGGGGGGUAGAAUUCCAGGUGUAGCGGUGAAAUGCGUAGAGAUCUGGAGGAAUACCGGUGGCGAAGGCGGCCCCCUGGACAAAGACUGACGCUCAGGUGCGAAAGCGUGGGGAGCAAACAGGAUUAGAUACCCUGGUAGUCCACGCCGUAAACGAUGUCUACUUGGAGGUUGUGCCCUUGAGGCGUGGCUUCCGGAGCUAACGCGUUAAGUAGACCGCCUGGGGAGUACGGCCGCAAGGUUAAAACUCAAAUGAAUUGACGGGGGCCCGCACAAGCGGUGGAGCAUGUGGUUUAAUUCGAUGCAACGCGAAGAACCUUACCUGGUCUUGACAUCCACAGAAGUUUGCAGAGAUGCGAAUGUGCCUUCGGGAACUGUGAGACAGGUGCUGCAUGGCUGUCGUCAGCUCGUGUUGUGAAAUGUUGGGUUAAGUCCCGCAACGAGCGCAAC
rnacentral:rRNA from 1 species